rnacentral:lncRNA from 1 species
GAUAUAUAUAUAUAUAUAUAUAUAUAUAUAUAUAUAUAUAGAGAGAGAGAGAGAGAGAGAGAGAGAGAGAGAGAGAGAGAGUGCAGCUAGGAUGCUUAUGGAAGCACAGAGAGCUCCGUGCUUCCACUUUGUUUUCGAUGUUCGGACUUUCGAAUCGACGAUCGACUCCGUUAGAUUUGAUCUAGAGUAUUUGAAGUAUCUAGAAAAUAAAUUUUGCGAUUUUUUGAUAUCAUUUGCCUAGUGAUCGAAGUGGCUCAAAAUCAACGGCUGAAAAUAAAAAUCUUACAAAAUAUGAUGAUAUGACAUUAAAAUUUUAGAUCAAAAUUAUUGAUCUUAUUUUAUAUGGUAUAAAGAAUUUUCUAUCAAAAUUUCAUGUGAUUUGGAUAUUUCUACACCGUUAAACUUGCAAUCGGCUCACCACGCCAUUAAAAUUAUUGAUUUUGAACCCCUUCGAUCACUAGGCAAAUGAUAUCGAAAAAUCACAAAAUUUAUUUUCUAGGUAUUUCAAAUACUCUAGAUCAACUCUAACGGAGCCGAUCGUCGAUUCGAAAGUUCGAACAUCGAAAAUAAUUUGGAAGCACGGAUGGCUCCGUGCUUCCAUAAGCAUACCAGCCACUCUAUAUAUAUAUAUAUAUAGUAGGGCUACUAUACUCUUAUAAGUAUAGAGCUCUUCGUAUUCAUAAAUUGCUUUCGAUGUUCGGGAUUCCGAAUUGACGAUCCAUACCAUUAAACAUGAUCUAGAGUAUUGAAACUUCUAGAAAAUAAAUUUCGUAAUUUUUCAAAAUCAUUAUAAAGUCCAUCAAGCGGAUAUAAAAUGAACGGUCAAAAUCGCAUGGCAUCCUAAAAAUGGAUGAUCGGAUCCUUCAAUUUAAGAUCGGGGUUAUUGAUCUUUAUCUAGGUAAUGAAUAGAAUUUUCUAUCAAAAAUUCAAGCUAUGCCAAUUCUUUUACACCGUUAAACUAACAAGUAUCACAUACCGGCCGUUAAAAAUUGUCAAUUUUGUGAGCUAUUGAUCAUAAGAUAAAUAAUAUCGAAAAAUUAUAAAAUUUAAUUUCUAAAAGUUUUAAAUGCUCUAGAUAAUGUUUAACGGUCUGGAUCGUCAACUCGGAAGGUCUAUCAUCGAAAACAACUUAUGAGUACGAAUGCGAUCGUACUCAUAAGAGUAUAUUAGCAGGACUAUAUAGAGUCCGGCUACAAUACUUUUAUGAGUAUUGGCUCACUUAUACUCAUGAGUUUUUGACCCUUAGAUUUAUUCCAUUGAUCAUUUGCACUCGUUAGAUCAUACUAUUCAACCAACUACCCACUCAACUCUAGGGAACUACUAUCAUUCUAAGUGGGGAUUACCAUCAUUCUAACCACAUAUCCCAUCAAUCAAUGGUUAAAAAUUUAUAAAUAUAAGAGGAUCUAUAUUCAUAAGAGUAUAAUGGCCCCAGCCUAUAUACGUGUGUGUAAUAUGAAGCUCGGUGGGGCCACUUAUAUAUAGCCCAUGAAUUGUCUCUUUGGCAUCUUACGUCCACAAAUAUAUUUUGCAUACAUAAGUCAAUAAGUAACUGUCCCAGGCAGAAAAAUUAUGAAGGUAAUUGCUUAUAUAUUCUUAGAAAAUUUUCGAAUGUUUUAUUUACUUUUAUGAAAGACUAAUAUUAAAAAUAUUUUUUUAAUGUUCAAAGUUAUUUCAAAUAUGUUCCUAAAAUUAAAUUGAAACUGAUGUUUUCUCUGUAAAAUUAUUAUUUUGCCUUUUCAAAUAUACUCUCCUACCAUCAUCAACUUUUCUUAUUUGUCGUUAAGUUAGGGAGAAAAGAAAUAUUUUGACUUCCUUUUAACUCUGGUAUCCGGCUUUAAUCUGAGAUGCCUUAACGGGUAUUAAAAUGGGGUUAUUUUUUAAUAAAAGAGAAAUAUACAAUGAGUAUAUUUGAAACAAAAAAAUAAUAAAAAUAUAUAAAAUAUUUCAGAAGUUUUGAAGAAUAUAUUAGAUAUUUAUCCUAAAUCUUAUGCAACAAACAAUAUUUUACAUGUCGUUGAGUCGGGCUAUUAUUCUCUUUC